rnacentral:rRNA from 1 species
UCAGAGUGGGACUAAGCCAUGCGAGUCAACGCCGCAAGGCGUGGCAUACGGCUCAGUAACACGUAGUCAACAUGCCCAAAGGACGUGGAUAACCUCGGGAAACUGAGGAUAAACCGCGAUAGGUCAAGGUUUCUGGAAUGAGCCAUGGCCGAAAUCUAUAUGGCCUCUGGAUUGGACUGCGGCCGAUCAGGCUGUUGGUGAGGUAAUGGCCCACCAAACCUGUUACCGGUACGGGCUCUGAGAGGAGGAGCCCGGAGAUGGGCACUGAGACAAGGGCCCAGGCCCUAUGGGGCGCAGCAGGCGCGAAACCUCUGCAAUAGGCGAAAGCUUGACUGGGUUACUCUGAGUGAUUCCCGCUAAGGGAAUCUUUUGGCAUCUCUAAAAAUGGUGCAGAAUAAGGGGUGGGCAAGUCUGGUGUCAGCCGCCGCGGUAAUACCAGCACCCCGAGUUGUCGGGACGAUUAUUGGGCCUAAAGCAUCCGUAGCCUGUUCUGCAAGUCCUCCGUUAAAUCCACCUGCUCAACGGAUGGGCUGCGGAGGAAACCGCAGAGCUAGGAGGCGGGAGAGGCAAACGGUACUCAGUGGGUAGGGGUAAAAUCCAUUGAUCUACUGAAGACCACCAGUGGCGAAGGCGGUUUGCCAGAACGCGCUCGACGGUGAGGGAUGAAAGCUGGGGGAGCAAACCGGAUUAGAUACCCGGGUAGUCCCAGCUGUAAACGAUGCAGACUCGGUGAUGGGUUGGCUUCGAGCCAACCCAGUGCCGCAGGGAAGCCGUUAAGUCUGCCGCCUGGGGAGUACGGUCGUAAGACUGAAACUUAAAGGAAUUGGCGGGGGAGCACCACAAGGGGUGAAGCCUGCGGUUCAAUUGGAUUCAACGCCGGG